UUCAGCGGCGGACGGGUGAGUAAUGCCUAGGAAUCUGCCCGAUAGUGGGGGACAACGUUUCGAAAGGAACGCUAAUACCGCAUACGUCCUACGGGAGAAAGUGGGGGAUCUUCGGACCUCACGCUAUCGGAUGAGCCUAGGUCGGAUUAGCUAGUUGGUGAGGUAAUGGCUCACCAAGGCGACGAUCCGUAACUGGUCUGAGAGGAUGAUCAAUCACACUGGAACUGAGACACGGUCCAGACACCUACGGGAGGCAGCAGUGGGGAAUAUUGGACAAUGGGCGAAAGCCUGAUCCAGCCAUGCCGCGUGUGUGAAGAAGGUCUUCGGAUUGUAAAGCACUUUAAGUUGGGAGGAAGGGCUGUCGGCUAAUACCCUGCAGUUUUGACGUUACCAACAGAAUAAGCACCGGCUAACUUCGUGCCAGCAGCCGCGGUAAUACGAAGGGUGCAAGCGUUAAUCGGAAUUACUGGGCGUAAAGCGCGCGUAGGUGGUUCAGCAAGUUGGAUGUGAAAGCCCCGGGCUCAACCUGGGAACUGCAUCCAAAACUACUGAGCUAGAGUACGGUAGAGGGUGGUGGAAUUUCCUGUGUAGCGGUGAAAUGCGUAGAUAUAGGAAGGAACACCAGUGGCGAAGGCGACCACCUGGACUGAUACUGACACUGAGGUGCGAAAGCGUGGGGAGCAAACAGGAUUAGAUACCCUGGUAGUCCACGCCGUAAACGAUGUCAACUAGCUGUUGGGUUCCUUGAGAACUUAGUAGCGAAGCUAACGCGAUAAUUGACCGCCUGGGGAGUACGGCCGCAAGGUUAAAACUCAAAUGAAUUGACGGGGGCCCGCACAAGCCGGUGGGAGCAUGUUGGUUAAUUUCGAAGCAAACGCGAAGAAACCCUUACCU
rnacentral:rRNA from 1 species